AACGAACGCUGGCGGCAGGCCUAACACAUGCAAGUCGAACGAGACCUUCGGGUCUAGUGGCGCACGGGUGCGUAACGCGUGGGAAUCUGCCCUUGGGUUCGGAAUAACAGUUAGAAAUGACUGCUAAUACCGGAUGAUGACUUCGGUCCAAAGAUUUAUCGCCCAGGGAUGAGCCCGCGUAGGAUUAGCUUGUUGGUGAGGUAAAAGCUCACCAAGGCGACGAUCCUUAGCUGGUCUGAGAGGAUGAUCAGCCACACUGGGACUGAGACACGGCCCAGACUCCUACGGGAGGCAGCAGUGGGGAAUAUUGGACAAUGGGCGAAAGCCUGAUCCAGCAAUGCCGCGUGAGUGAUGAAGGCCUUAGGGUUGUAAAGCUCUUCUACCCGGGAUGAUAAUGACAGUACCGGGAGAAUAAGCCCCGGCUAACUCCGUGCCAGCCGCCGCUGUAAAAC
rnacentral:rRNA from 1 species